rnacentral:RNase_P_RNA from 1 species
UGAGUAGAUUCGAGUAAUCGCUUGUUCACUUUGAAUAAGAGGAAAGUCCGGACUCCAAUGGGCAUAGUGCCAGGUAACGCCUGGGAAGUUUGCAAAAACUUACGACUAGUGCAACAGAAAGUAUACCGCCUAUUUCGGUAGGUAAGGGUGAAACGGUGAGGUAAGAGCUCACCAGGCAGUUCAGCAAUGACUGUGCUUGGUAAACUCCACUCGGAGCAAGAUCAAAUAGGUGUUCAUAUAACGCGCCCAUCGUUGAACACGGGUAGAUCGCUUGAGGCUAACAGUGAUGUUAGUCCUAGAUGAAUGAUUACAUAAAACAAAAUCCGGCUUAUGGAAUAGCUUAGCAG